GGACCGCUGGCGCAACGGUAGCGCGUUGUAAGUUUACAACAUUCAAAAACAUAAAACAAAUUACUAACAGUAUGAUAGCGCCUCCAGAGCGAAAGGUUAUCCGUUCAAAUCGGGUGUGGUUCA
rnacentral:tRNA from 1 species